rnacentral:rRNA from 1 species
UACGUCGUAGCCGCAGAAGCUGCAAGAAUUUAAUAAAUGCCCUCGGCUUGUAAAACUCUUUUUUCCGUGAAAAAAAUGACAGUCGCGUCUAAAAAUUGCCCGGACUGCUCCAAGCCGAUCCCCCGGUCUAUGCCGGGGGUUACCGUUGUUCGAAUAUCUGUGCGUUAAGCGCAAUCAUUGGCUUUCAGGGUCCCCACUGAAAUUUUUAAGUCUCAGGUGAAAUCCUGCCUCUCGACUGUGAAACUGCCUUUCAUACUGGGAAACUUGAAUUCCUGUGGUAUGGUUGAAAUGCGUAGAGUUUCGGAGAAAUGCCUAUGUCUAACGCGGAACACUGAUUGCAAACGGACACUGAUAUGCGAUACUGACGGAGCUGAACGAAUUCGAGACCCUCGUACUCCACUACAUACACUAGAAGUGCACGCCGUAAAGGAUGAAUCCAAUCUGUGACACUCAUAUCGGAUUAAUCAUUGGUUCUGCGGAGUAGAUACGCACCACACCUGGAGAGUACAAUUGACUGACUGAAACUCAAAGGAAUUGACGGA